ensembl:lncRNA novel transcript
GGUAUUCCUCUGAGGAGAGCCAGAAGUCUUUGCCAAUAAUAAUAAUAAUAAUAAUAAAAAGAGAGUCUCUGAGGAGAAACUUCUGUCUCAGUUUAUGCACAGGCUGCCUUACAACUCCUGUGGAAUUAGCUGUUAGCGCCUCAAUCAGAAAUUCCUUUAAAAUGCUAGAGAAGCCAGAUACAGCUACAACAGUAACAGGGAGGUGAGAAAACACGGCUUCUCAGUGUGGUGACCAAGUUCUUCUGUGGCAACAGACAGGCUGCCGGUUCACACUUGUAGUAACCCAGCUCUGGUUCGGCUCGGCAUCCCCUCUCCAGAAGCAGUUGCAACCUCACAGACCAUUCAGAGGGAGGCGGGGCCUGCGAUGCCAGCUCAUCAGUGAAUCAGCAUGUAAGCAGUUCCAGGAUACAUGUGCAGGACGUGGAAUUUUGUUACUUAGGUAAAUAAAUGUAUGCCAGGCCAUACCACCCUGAACAUGCCGGAUCUUGUCUGAAACUUCUCUAAAUGCAAGACAAUACAAACUAGCAAUGCCUUCUUCAAAAGCCAAACACACUUAAAGUUUUAUGAAAAUAAUUUUCAUUUUGCUAAUGUUUCAUCAAUGCUUCCUUCUUGCGUGGAUAGCUUCAUGAUUCCAGAAACUCAAGAACAUUAACUGAACAAUCAACUAAAACAGUGCAAGUAAUGACUCCACAAGACAGCGCAAGUAAUGACUCUAUAGCCAAUGGAUAAAUAAGAAAAUGAGGUGAUUAUUUUAAUUAGCAAAUCUAUUUGCAAAGGACCCUUCACGGAUCCUCAAGUUUCUGUUUUGCCAUGUUUAGUGCAUUUCAAUUGCAAAUGUCAACAAUUGCAUUUUUUGGAUUCUAAUCUCCAGCAGCAUAAUAAAUAAUGUGCACUGCAUUUGUCAUUUUAAGAUGACAGCACUCAGCGGUAAGAACCUAACAAACAAAA